UACGUAGGGUGCGAGCGUUGUCCGGAAUUACUGGGCGUAAAGAGCUCGUAGGUGGUUUGUCGCGUUGUCCGUGAAAACUCACGGCUCAACUGUGGGCGUGCGGACGAUGCGGGCAGACUGGAGUACUGCAGGGGAGACUGGAAUUCCUGGUGUAGCGGUGGAAUGCGCAGAUAUCAGGAGGAACACCGAUGGCGAAGGCAGGUCUCUGGGCCACUACUGACGCUGAGAAGCGAAAGCAUGGGGAGCGAACAGG
rnacentral:rRNA from 1 species